UACGGAGGGUGCAAGCGUUACCCGGAAUCACUGGGCGUAAAGAGCUCGUAGGCGGUUUGUCGCGUCUGCUGUGAAAACUCGGGGCUUAACCCCGGGCCUGCAGUGGGUACGGGCAGACUAGAGUGCGGUAGGGGAGACUGGAAUUCCUGGUGUAGCGGUGAAAUGCGCAGAUAUCAGGAGGAACACCGGUGGCGAAGGCGGGUCUCUGGGCCAUUACUGACGCUGAGGAGCGAAAGCGUGGGGAGCAAACAGG
rnacentral:rRNA from 1 species